rnacentral:rRNA from 1 species
UACGUAGGGUGCAAGCGUUGUCCGGAAUUAUUGGGCGUAAAGAGCUCGUAGGCGGUUUGUCGCGUCUGCCUGUGGAAAACCCGAGGCUCAACCUCGGGCCUGCAGUGGGUACGGGCAGACUAGAGUGGCGGUAGGGAGAUUGGAAUUCCUGGUGUAGCGGUGAAAUGCGCAGAUAAUCGAGGAGGAACACCGGUGGCGAAGGCGGGUCUCUGGGCCGUAACUGACGCUGGAGGAGCGAAAGCAUGGGGAGCGAACAGG